rnacentral:rRNA from 1 species
AGAGUUUGAUCAUGGCUCAGAUUGAACGCUGGCGGCAUGCUUUACACAUGCAAGUCGAACGGCAGCACGGGGGCAACCCUGGUGGCGAGUGGCGAACGGGUGAGUAAUAUAUCGGAACGUGCCCAGUCGUGGGGGAUAACCAGUCGAAAGAUUGGCUAAUACCGCAUGAGAUCGCAAGAUGAAAGCGGGGGACCGCAAGGCCUCGCGCGAGAGGAGCGGCCGAUGUCGGAUUAGCUAGUUGGUGGGGUAAAAGCCUACCAAGGCGACGAUCCGUAGCUGGUCUGAGAGGACGACCAGCCACACUGGGACUGAGACACGGCCCAGACUCCUACGGGAGGCAGCAGUGGGGAAUUUUGGACAAUGGGCGCAAGCCUGAUCCAGCCAUGCCGCGUGUGUGAAGAAGGCCUUCGGGUUGUAAAGCACUUUCGGACGGAACGAAAUCGCGCGGUUGAAUAUUCCGCGUGGAUGACGGUACCGUAAGAA